CUUGAACUUUAAAUGCACCCACCAGAGACUCAGUUAACCUUGCCUGCCAGUCCAGGACACGCCUCGUCUAGGGAGGUUAUCAGGUAACAUAAUUAGAUAGACAUUUCAUCUAUCCAGUCAAAAUCCUGGAUGUCUGGAUUGGUCCUCCCUAAGGGAGGUGUCAGAAAGUGAAAGCCCGCCUUUCAGGAGCUGCCAGAAUGUACGGUGGCUGAAAGCCGAGGCCCAAUCUGAAAAAUCCUUGCUCAGCUACGAGACGUCAAGGACAGCUACAAUGCGAGUUGAGGAGCUCCAGAAAUGUAAAAAGUUACACAGACUGGAGGCAUAAACAGCUGGGAUUGAUCCCAUUUAUAAAAUUCCACAAAUCCAGAUCGGAUGACCGGAAGUUCCAAUGACGUCACUUCUGGGUCACAGUUUCCUGGCCCCAAUCCUUAUCAUCUGGCUCUUCCUUAAGGGGCACCACCACCCCUUUGUGUCAUUCGUAAUUUUGUCUCCAGUCUGAAAAGACCUCAUUUGAUUAUCAACUGUUUUUUGCAUUUUUUUCCAUCAGUUAUAUGGGGUUCACCUUCAAGGUGCCCCAACUCUUUUAUCUUGUCUUGUCUCCUGUUUUUCCGGUCUGGAUUAGGCGGAUUAGAAGAUGACAUGAUAUUGUACAUUUUCAUACUUGUUCUGUCUCUCUCUCUCUCUGUCUUGAAUGAAUGAGCGCAUCAUUGUGGAGAAAAUGACAUCCGACACAGAGGCACAGUGGAUUUAUGCUGCAUGCUGUGCACAGAAAGCCGUGAUGUGCAUGUGGUGGUGUGUGUCCAAAGUGGUGAGAGCAUUUGCUUAGAAACUUAUGAAUUUUUUAUUUCUGGAAUUAUCUAUUUUGGGCCAUGGUAAAGUGGAUAACUGAAACCGUGGAAACCAAAUCUGUGGUUUUACUGUAAA